rnacentral:rRNA from 1 species
AUGAACGCUAGCGGCGGGCCUAAUACAUGCAAGUCGAGGGGUAUUCGGGGCUUGCCCCGAAGAGACCGGCGCACGGGUGCGUAACGCGUAUGCAACCUGCCCCGAUCUGGGGAUAGCCCGGAGAAAUCCGGAUUAACACCGCAUAAAGACGCGCGGCCGCAUGGCCGGGGGUCCAAACAUUUAUGGGAUCGGAUGGGCAUGCGUGCCAUUAGCUAGUUGGCGGGGUAACGGCCCACCAAGGCUCCGAUGGCUAGGGGAUCUGAGAGGAUGGCCCCCCACACUGGUACUGAGACACGGACCAGACUCCUACGGGAGGCAGCAGUAGGGAAUAUUGGUCAAUGGGCGCAAGCCUGAACCAGUCAUGCCGCGUGCAGGACGACGGCCCUCCGGGUUGUAAACUGCUUUUGCACGGGAAUAAACCCAUGUUUUCCAACAUGGCUGAACGUACCGUGAGAAUAAGGAUCGGCUAACUCCGUGCCAGCAGCCGCGGUAAUACGGAGGAUCCGAGCGUUAUCCGGAUUUAUUGGGUUUAAAGGGUGCGUAGGCGGCCCGUUAAGUCAGGGGUGAAAGACGGUGGCUCAACCAUCGCAGUGCCCUUGAUACUGAUGGGCUUGGAUCGGCUGGAGGCAGGCGGAAUGUGGCAAGUAGCGGUGAAAUGCAUAGAUAUGCCACAGAACACCGAUUGCGAAGGCAGCUUGCUAUGGCCCGAUCGACGCUGAUGCACGAAAGCGUGGGAUCGAACAGGAUUAGAUACCCUGGUAGUCCACGCCCUAAACGAUGGACACUCGCUGUCGGCGAUAGACUGCCGGCGGCCAAGCGAAAGCGUUAAGUGUCCCACCUGGGGAGUACGCCCGCAAGGGUGAAACUCAAAGGAAUUGACGGGGGCCCGCACAAGCGGAGGAGCAUGUGGUUUAAUUCGAUGAUACGCGAGGAACCUUACCCGGGCUUGAAAGUUAGCGAAGGGCGCAGAGAUGUGCCCGUCCGCAAGGACGCGAAACUAGGUGCUGCAUGGCUGUCGUCAGCUCGUGCCGUGAGGUGCUGGGUUAAGUCCCGCAACGAGCGCAACCCCUGUGUCCAGUUGCCAGCAAGUAAUGUUGGGGACUCUGGACAGACUGCCCGCGCAAGCGGCGAGGAAGGAGGGGACGACGUCAAGUCAUCAUGGCCCUUACGUCCGGGGCUACACACGUGCUACAAUGGGCGGUACAGAGGGCAGCCAUCCGGCAACGGAGCGCCAAUCCCAAAAAGCCGCCCACAGUUCGGAUCGGGGCCUGCAACUCGGCCCCGUGAAGUUGGAUUCGCUAGUAAUCGCGUAUCAGCAAUGACGCGGUGAAUACGUUCCCGGGCCUUGUACACACCGCCCGUCAAGCCAUGGAAGCUGGGGGUACCUGAAGUGCGUGGCCGCAAGGAGCGCCCUAGGGUAAGACCGGUAACUGGGGCU